UACGGAAGGUCCGGGCGUUAUCCGGAUUUAUUGGGUUUAAAGGGAGCGCAGGCGGACCUUUAAGUCAGCUGUGAAAUACGGCGGCUCAACCGUCGAACUGCAGUUGAUACUGGAGGUCUUGAGUGCACACAGGGAUGCUGGAAUUCAUGGUGUAGCGGUGAAAUGCUCAGAUAUCAUGAAGAACUCCGAUCGCGAAGGCAGGCAUUCGGGGUGCAACUGACGCUGAGGCUCGAAAGUGCGGGUAUCAAACAGG
rnacentral:rRNA from 1 species